rnacentral:rRNA from 1 species
UACGUAGGGGGCAAGCGUUGUCCGGAUUUAUUGGGCGUAAAGAGCGUGUAGGCGGCCAGGUAGGUCUGCUGUGAAAACUCGGAGGCUUAACCUCGAGAUGUCGGCGGAAACCAUCUGGCUAGAGUCCGGAAGAGGAGAAUGGAAUUCCCGGUGUAGCGGUGAAAUGCGCAGAUAUCGGGAAGAACACCCGUGGCGAAGGCGGUUCUCUGGGACGGUACUGACGCUGAGACGCGAAGCGUGGGAGCGAACAGG